rnacentral:rRNA from 1 species
GAACGCUGGCGGCGUGCCUAAUACAUGCAAGUCGAACGAGUUCUGAUUAUUGAAAGGUGCUUGCAUCUUGAUUUUAAUUUUGAACGAGUGGCGGACGGGUGAGUAACACGUGGGUAACCUGCCCUUAAGUGGGGGAUAACGUUUGGAAACAGAUGCUAAUACCGCAUAAAUCCAAGAACCGCAUGGUUCUUGGCUGAAAGAUGGCGUAAGCUAUCGCUUUUGGAUGGACCCGCGGCGUAUUAGCUAGUUGGUGAGGUAACGGCUCACCAAGGCAAUGAUACGUAGCCGAACUGAGAGGUUGAUCGGCCACAUUGGGACUGAGACACGGCCCAAACUCCUACGGGAGGCAGCAGUAGGGAAUCUUCCACAAUGGACGCAAGUCUGAUGGAGCAACGCCGCGUGAGUGAAGAAGGCUUUCGGGUCGUAAAACUCUGUUGUUGGAGAAGAAUGGUCGGCAGAGUAACUGUUGUCGGCGUGACGGUAUCCAACCAGAAAGCCACGGCUAACUACGUGCCAGCAGCCGCGGUAAUACGUAGGUGGCAAGCGUUAUCCGGAUUUAUUGGGCGUAAAGCGAGCGCAGGCGGUUUUUUAAGUCUGAUGUGAAAGCCCUCGGCUUAACCGAGGAAGUGCAUCGGAAACUGGGAAACUUGAGUGCAGAAGAGGACAGUGGAACUCCAUGUGUAGCGGUGAAAUGCGUAGAUAUAUGGAAGAACACCAGUGGCGAAGGCGGCUGUCUGGUCUGUAACUGACGCUGAGGCUCGAAAGCAUGGGUAGCGAACAGGAUUAGAUACCCUGGUAGUCCAUGCCGUAAACGAUGAAUGCUAGGUGUUGGAGGGUUUCCGCCCUUCAGUGCCGCAGCUAACGCAUUAAGCAUUCCGCCUGGGGAGUACGACCGCAAGGUUGAAACUCAAAGGAAUUGACGGGGGCCCGCACAAGCGGUGGAGCAUGUGGUUUAAUUCGAAGCAACGCGAAGAACCUUACCAGGUCUUGACAUCUUUUGAUCACCUGAGAGAUCAGGUUUCCCCUUCGGGGGCAAAAUGACAGGUGGUGCAUGGUUGUCGUCAGCUCGUGUCGUGAGAUGUUGGGUUAAGUCCCGCAACGAGCGCAACCCUUAUGACUAGUUGCCAGCAUUUAGUUGGGCACUCUAGUAAGACUGCCGGUGACAAACCGGAGGAAGGUGGGGAUGACGUCAAAUCAUCAUGCCCCUUAUGACCUGGGCUACACACGUGCUACAAUGGAUGGUACAACGAGUUGCGAGACCGCGAGGUCAAGCUAAUCUCUUAAAGCCAUUCUCAGUUCGGACUGUAGGCUGCAACUCGCCUACACGAAGUCGGAAUCGCUAGUAAUCGCGGAUCAGCACGCCGCGGUGAAUACGUUCCCGGGCCUUGUACACACCGCCCGUCACACCAUGAGAGUUUGUAACACCCGAAGCCGGUGGCGUAACCCUUUUAGGGAGCGAGCCGUCUAAGGUGGGACAAAUGAUU